UUUGAGUCUACAAGCUCAGCUAGGGGAAAAGAACAAAUUGGAAUGGAACAGUUUCCAAACAGUGAAGGAGGUUUUUCCAAACUCAUCCCUAACUGAACAUGAGGAUGAAUUGGCAUUAGGCGAACACAGUCAGUUAUUCAGUCUACCACCUGACAGUGUGUUAAAGUUAAAUUCUGUUAGUGCUGCACUAAAAGAAUUGUUAGUAAUAAGUCCAUGCAGCGAAGGAAUUGAACAAUUGCGGGACCGUAUUUGGGCCGAAAAUGGGUGUGGUACGGAAACCCAGAAAUAGCACGAGUUCAACAUAAAACAUGAAUUAGAAUUUUAGUGGGGGAUCAAGUCAAGCCUGGAAGUGUUACAGGAUGGAAGAGUGAGCCUACAGUUGAAAAACACUGAAAGUGCAUUACCAUUAAGGUAUGAGGUAAAGUAAUAGAGUAUGCAAAUUGUCUAAUGAGAAGUACCAUCUUGUGUGAAUGAAUCCUGUGUAACAGCAAUCCUUUAUAGUUCUGUCACAGCUAGAAGCCUCAAAUAAUUCUGCUUCUCUUGCUAAAGAACAACUUGUCCUUUACGUUCAGAGUGUUGGUGAAGCUGGGUACUUAAAUGGCCCUAAAGAUGUUUCAUUUCGUUGGCAUUGUAGCGAUGAACAUCAUACAUGGACUUUUUAGGAAAGGAUUUUCAGCAUACUGGGAACACAACUAUCAACAAUGCAUCAUUCUAGGGGUGCUAUUUUAUCAUUCAAGAGACUUAUACAAUGAUUUUCAUCUGCAAUUUGUAUGGCCUUUCCAAGCUUCUGCCAGAAGUUGAAUCUAUAAGUCAUGUAAGUCACAUGAGCAACAAUUGAGAUGCUUAAUGGUGUUGUUUUUCUAUUCUCAGCAUAGGUUAAUAGUACAUUGGAUCUGAAAAGAUUCUUGGUUGGGGCAAGACACUGAAUAAAUUGUAAUGAUUGAAUGGAUGACAUGACAUUUCUAUACUUAAUUUGGAUUCGCGAGACGGUAUUUUAUAUUUAAAAAAUUGAAGUGCAUAUCUGGGCUCCCUUCCUUUCCGUAGCCCCGUUUCCCCUUGACUCGUAAUAAGCCCGUAGGGGGUCAUGCCCCUACUGUACGGUAUAUAUAAAAACAACAUAUACCGAGGUUUGGA